rnacentral:rRNA from 1 species
GUCCACGCCGUAAACGUUGGGCACUAGGUGUGGGUCUCUAUCGACGGGAUCCGUGCCGUAGCUAACGCAUUAAGUGCCCCGCCUGGGGAGUACGGCCGCAAGGCUAAAACUCAAAGGAAUUGACGGGGGCCCGCACAAGCGGCGGAGCGUGUGGCUUAAUUCGAUGCAACGCGAAGAACCUUACCUGGGCUUGACAUUGAGGGAAAAGCCGGUGAAAGCCGGUGUGCUUCGGCGUCCUCAACAGGUGGUGCAUGGCUGUCGU